AUGUAUUUUAUAGAAUUGAUUCAUUUGAACGAAUCUGUGUUUGCAGGAACCUCCACUUUAUCUGUGACAGGAGAAAAGGGAGGCAGCGUGAUCCUGCCAUGUGAAUUUGAGGCCAAUAAGAUUUCUGCUAUUAGUUUAAACAGUCGGUCAGAAAACAUCCCUGUCUGUCAGACUGAAGAAUGUAGUGGACGAGUGUUUAAAGAAGGAAACUGUGACGUCGUCAUCAAGAAUCUGAGCUUCAGUGACGCUGGGAAAUACUUUCUGCAUCUCUAUUACAAUAAUGAUCAGAAAGAGCUGGAGCGACAAAUCAGGACGUACCAACUUCAUAUUCAUGAUGAGAUUUGUGUGAACAUCGGUGAGCAGCUGAAGUUAGAUGUUCUGUUGUCAGAAGCUGAUAAAGUGCAGCAUCAGAGCAGAAGAAGCACAGAGUGGAUGAAGGUCUGGAGCAGAAGUGAUGGAGUUCAGAGCCAACCAAUGACCAUCAGAGAUAGAAACCUGAUCAUUAGUAACUUUACAGCCAGAGACACAGGAUCAUACAGAGUUCUGGACCCUUCAGGAGAAACCUUGAUCACAGUGACAGUCAGAGGUGAGAGAAGCUCAAAAUGGUUUUUUAAAAUGUCAUUUUUUUAAGUAGACAGCUGAGGUUUAUUCACCAUUAUUUGAACAUCAAGUUGAUGCUAAUAUUUUAAUAACCUCUGCAGAAUCAGGUACAGAAUCAAAGGGAAAGCUGGAAACAUCUUUUGCAGCUGUAAUGUAUUGUAUUAUGAGUGCUGGACUGCUUGUGUAUGAGGUUCUGCUGGUUCUGACUCUGGUUACAUUUACUAUCAAGAAACAGAGCAGUUUCUGAAAGCAGAACGUGUCUCUCACAGAUGAUGUCAUCCAGAAACAUCACUGGUUACUUGUUAUUCGUCUUCAGCGCCAACAGAUCUGCAGAGUUUUCUGACAACACAUGUCUGUAAUAUAUAUGUGAUUUAAAGGGGUCCUUUGAUGGGAUUUCAUGUUUCCUUUCUCUUUGGAGUGUUACAAGCUGUUCGUGUAUAGAUAAGAUCCCUAAAGUUGCAAAGACUAAAGACUCAAAUCCAAAGAGAUUCUUUAUAAAAGUUAACAGUCAACCACUCCGUCCUAAAACGGCUCGUUCUAACAUGCCCCACAUCUCUACAUCACUAUAUGGGAAGAUUUGCAUAACGCUGCCUGAAUGUUCACGCAAAG
ensembl:lncRNA